GGGUGGUCGAUGGAAGGCUGGUAAAACGUUUGGUUUUCGACCACUACGACCCGGGUUCGAUCCCCGCAUUGGACA
rnacentral:tRNA from 1 species